rnacentral:lncRNA from 1 species
CCACAAUAAUAUGAUACACCCUCCCCACAUGAUUUCUUUCUUACUGUCUCUAUCAUUCAUCUCUUUUGUGCAUUCUCAGAGGUUCUCUCUUCGGGACUUUCUCUUCCAACUCUCAUUCUUUCUCCUCCAAACAUGAAAUUCUCCCACAACCUCCACAAAUGCUUCAUCUUCCACAUCAUUUCAUUUCAACAAUUGUGCUCCGUCCCUCACUCCCUCUCUUCAACGACACUCAUCUAGACACAAAGGGUCCUCGUUAUAGCAUAUAAAGGGA